rnacentral:rRNA from 1 species
AACGAACGCUGGCGGCAGGCUUAACACAUGCAAGUCGAACGCCCCGCAAGGGGAGUGGCAGACGGGUGAGUAACGCGUGGGAAUCUACCCAUCCCUACGGAACAACUCCGGGAAACUGGAGCUAAUACCGUAUACGCCCUUAGGGGGAAAGAUUUAUCGGGGAUGGAUGAGCCCGCGUUGGAUUAGCUAGUUUGUGGGGUAAAGGCCUACCAAGGCGACGAUCCAUGGCUGGUCUGAGAGGAUGAUCAGCCACAUUGGGACUGAGACACGGCCCAAACUCCUACGGGAGGCAGCAGUGGGGAAUAUUGGACAAUGGGCGCAAGCCUGAUCCAGCCAUGCCGCGUGAGUGAUGAAGGCCUUAGGGUUGUAAAGCUCUUUCACCGAUGAAGAUAAUGACGGUAGUCGGAGAAGAAGCCCCGGCUAACUUCGUGCCAGCCGCCGCCGUAAUAC